rnacentral:lncRNA from 10 species
CACAAAGGAGAAUUCACACAAAGGUCUCGGACCAGCCAGUUUCCAUGUGAAAAAGCCAUCUGGGAGCAAGGGAACAAACCCAGGAAUACAACUGUAUUGGGGGAAAUUCAGCCAGACAUAGGGCAAAAUUCACCCCCAAUAUUUCAUGUAGGUUCUUUUCUAUUUUCCGUAAGUGUCGGCCGGUCUGAGAAAUAAAGGGACAGAGCUCAAAAGAGAGAAAUUUUAAAGCUGGGUGUCUGGGGGAGACAUCACAUGUCGGCAGGUUCCGUGAUGCCCCCCGAGCCGUAAAACCAGCAAGUUUUUAUUCGUGAUUUUCAAAAGGGGAGGGGGAGUGUAUGAAUAGGGUGUGGGUCACAGAGAUCACAUGCUUCACAAGAUAAUAAGAUAUCACAAGGCAAAUGGAGGCAGGGCGAGAUCACAGGACCACAGGACCGGGGCAAAAUUAAAAUUGCUAAUGAAGUUUCGGGCAUGCAUUUUCAUUGAUAACAUCUUAUCAGGAGACAGGGUCUGAGAGCAGACAACCGGUCUGACCAAAAUUUAUUAGGCGGGAAUUUCCUCGUCCUAAUAAGCCUGGGAGCGCUAUGGGAGACUGGGGCUUAUUUCAUCCCUACAGCUUUGACCAUAAAAGACGGCCGCCCCCCGAAGCGGCCAUUUCGGAGGCCUACCCUCAGGGACACAUUCUCUUUCUCAGGGAUGUUCCUUGCUGAGAAAAAAAAUUUAGCGAUAUUUCUCCCAUUUGUUUUUGAAAGAAGAAAAAUAUGGCUCUGUUCUGCCUGGCUCACCGGCAGUCAGAGUUUAAGGUUAUCUCUCUUGCUCCCUGAACAUUGCUGUUAUCCUGUUCUUUUUUCAAGGUGCCCAGAUUUCAUAUUGUUCAAACACACAUGCUCUACAAACAAUUUGUGCAGUUAACGCAAUCAUCACAGGGUCCUGAGGCGACAUACAUCCUCCUCAUUUUACAAAGAUGAUGGGAUUAAGAGAUUAAAGACAGGCAUAGGAAAUCACAAGGGUAUUGAUUGGGGAAGUGAUAAGUGUCCAUGAAAUCUUCACAAUUUAUGUUCAGAGAUUGCAGUAAAGACAGGCGUAAGAAAUUAUAAAAGUAUUAAUUUGGGGAACUAAUAAAUGUCCAUGAAAUCUUCACAAUCCACAAUUAUUCUGCCAUGGCUUCAGCCGGUCCCUCCAUUUGGGGUUCCUGACUUCCCGCAACACAAGUGGAGAGAGAGGUGGCCUGACAUUAUGGCUAAGUUGAUAUGGAAGCAUUCUGGUUUGUUCUAUAGAAUCAGAAUAAUGAUCAUUCACUUAUUCAUGCAUUCAUUCAUGGAGUAAGUCUUUUGUGAUGCACAAUCACGCACCCAAGGCCUUGGGAAUACAUCUGUGUACAAGACAGACAGGCACUCGCCUUCCUGGACCUGAUGUUCUGCUG